ACAUCUGCAAAAUAAUUCAAUAAUAUAAAUACAAUUCUUUUAAAUAUUACAAUUAAAUUAAUAACCAAUAUAAUACACACAAUACAAUACAUAGUAUAUAUUAUAUAUAAUAUAUACAAUCAAAUAAAUCAUCUAAAUAGGUAUUAAAAUUAAAUUAGUAAUCACUAAUCAAUGUAAUAAAUACAAUACAAAUAUACAAAUAUACAAUAUAUUAUAUUAUAUAUAAAAUAAGACAAAUUUAAUUUAAUAACAAUUUUUAUCAUGUACCUAUAUACCUGUUGAAUUAUUUUUAUGAAUAUUAUACAGUUAAAAGUUGUAAAAUAUUAUUUCUUAUAAUGUAAUGAUACCAAACUGAUGAAAUGUGAACGAUCAAUAUUUUUAGCUUCAUAUUCUUUUAAUUUUUUCGGGAAGAUUUUUUUUUACCCUUGUGGAAUCGAUAUGUUGGUUUUAGACGACCUGCACUGGAGAAGUCGAUACUGGCGGAAUCAAUAUACCUUAUCCCCUAGUAUAAAAAGGUCUGGCGGAAUCGAUGAAAUCAUGGUAAUAACAUACACUCUACAGUCUACGAUGUCCGACAAGGUCCACAUUAAGUACGACAUGGUGUCCAGGGUGAGAAAAGAAUGGCCCAGAUUUAGUUUUGAAUUGUGUAACGGUCCGAAUGUAUUCUUAUUACUGGGGAACCAAUUAAAAUUUCUAAAGCUACUGAAGUUAUUGGUCAAAAAGUUGAAGAAGUAGCACAUUAUACUUGGCGCAUCCUGAUAAAUACCAGCAACACAUACAAAGAGAUCCAGCCACUACUGCAGUCACAACAGCUUUAAAGGAGUAUAAACUAUCAAAUAGAAGAAAAACAGCCAAGAAAUUCAAGGACAACAACAAAAUUCAGCAAAACAGAAAUUGAAGAAGUGAAACAAUGUGUGACACUCAACAAAACCACAAGCCAUAAAAAAAGGAAACCCAACAUAGACAGAAUGGAAAAGAGAUUAAGGCGAUAAGCAAAAUAAUAUUUUGUUUUAAUGCUACAUAAUUCAUAAAAUUACCAAGCUCUAACAAACUAAUAAUAUAAUUAAUACAUAAAAUGUACCAGUAAAAUUUUGAAAAAAUCAAAAUGAUAUUUCCUAAUAUAAUAAGGUGUAGAAUCCAACAAAUUGAAUUUUUAUAUAGCUAAUAAAUAACUCAGUUUUCAUUUUGAACAUCUGAAACUAAAACCACAAGAAUCAUGUUUAAAUUUAGAGUAUAAAUAAUAUUAUUUAUUAAUUAAAAUGUUUAUUUUAAAUUAAAAAAAAUUAUAAUCGUAUUUUAACUAUUAACUUUCAUGUAAAUAUACAAUUUUCAAUUUCAUAUUACCAAUUAAAAACUAAUUUUACAUCCAAAAUCUUUGAAAC